rnacentral:rRNA from 1 species
GUCUAUGGCCAUGCCACCCUGAACAAGCCCAAUCCCAUCUGAUCUUGGAAGCUAAGCAGGGUUGGACCUGGUUAGUACUUGGAUGGGAGACCACCUAGAAAGACCAGGUGCUGUUGGUG